rnacentral:rRNA from 1 species
CCUACGGGAGGCAGCAGUGGGGAAUAUUGGACAAUGGGGGGAACCCUGAUCCAGCGACGCCGCGUGAGUGAAGAAGUAUUUCGGUAUGUAAAGCUCUAUCAGCAGGGAAGAAAGGAAUGACGGUACCUGACUAAGAAGCACCGGCUAACUACGUGCCAGCAGCCGCGGUAAUACGUAGGGGGCAAGCGUUAUCCGGAUUUACUGGGGUGAAAGGGAGCGUAGACGGUUACGCAAGUCUGGAGUGAAAGGCGGGGGCCCAACCCCCGGACUGCUUUGGAAACUGUAUAACUGGAGUGCAGGAGAGGUAAGUGGAAGUCCUAGUGUAGCGGUGAAAUGCGUAGAUAUUAGGAGGAACACCAGUGGCGAAGGCGGCUUACUGGACUGUAACUGACGUUGAGGCUCGAAAGCGUGGGGAGCAAACAGGAUUAGAUACCCCAGUAGUC